rnacentral:rRNA from 1 species
GGGUUGUGAGGUUAAGCGACUAAGCGUACACGGUGGAUGCCCUGGCAGUCAGAGGCGAUGAAGGGCGUGCUAAUCUGCGAUAAGCGCCGGUAAGGUGAUAUGAACCGUUAUAACCGGCGAUACCCGAAUGGGGAAACCCAGUGUGAUUCGUCACACUAUCAUUAACUGAAUCCAUAGGUUAAUGAGGCGAACCGGGGGAACUGAAACAUCUAAGUACCCCGAGGAAAAGAAAUCAACCGAGAUUCCCCCAGUAGCGGCGAGCGAACGGGGAGGAGCCCAGAGCCUGAAUCAGCAUGUGUGUUAGUGGAAGCGUCUGGAAAGGCGCGCGAUACAGGGUGACAGCCCCGUACACAAAAGCGCAUGUGCUGUGAGCUCGAUGAGUAGGGCGGGACACGUGGUAUCCUGUCUGAAUAUGGGGGGACCAUCCUCCAAGGCUAAAUACUCCUGACUGACCGAUAGUGAACCAGUACCGUGAGGGAAAGGCGAAAAGAACCCCGGCGAGGGGAGUGAAAAAGAACCUGAAACCGUGUACGUACAAGCAGUGGGAGCACAGGUUUACCUGUGUGACUGCGUACCUUUUGUAUAAUGGGUCAGCGACUUAUAUUCUGUAGCAAGGUUAACCGAAUAGGGGAGCCGGAGGGAAACCGAGUCUUAAUUGGGCGUUAAGUUGCAGGGUAUAGACCCGAAACCCGGUGAUCUAGCCAUGGGCAGGUUGAAGGUUGGGUAACACUAACUGGAGGACCGAACCGACUAAUGUUGAAAAAUUAGCGGAUGACCUGUGGCUGGGGGUGAAAGGCCAAUCAAACCGGGAGAUAGCUGGUUCUCCCCGAAAGCUAUUUAGGUAGCGCCUCGUGAAUUCAUCUCCGGGGGUAGAGCACUGUUUCGGCUAGGGGGCCAUCCCGGCUUACCAACCCGAUGCAAACUGCGAAUACCGGAGAAUGUUAUCACGGGAGACACACGGCGGGUGCUAACGUCCGUCGUGAAGAGGGAAACAACCCAGACCGCCAGCUAAGGUCCCAAAGUCAUGGUUAAGUGGGAAACGAUGUGGGAAGGCCCAGACAGCCAGGAUGUUGGCUUAGAAGCAGCCAUCAUUUAAAGAAAGCGUAAUAGCUCACUGGUCGAGUCGGCCUGCGCGGAAGAUGUAACGG